AGAGUUUGAUCAUGGCUCAGGACGAACGCUGGCGGCGUGCUUAACACAUGCAAGUGGAGCGACGAACCGGGGCUUGCCCCGGGGCAGAGCCGCGAACGGGUGAGUAACACGUGGGUAACCCACCCCGAUGAUUGGGACAACCCCGGGGAAACUCGGGCUAAUACCAAAUGUGCUCGGCGACCAUGAGGUCUCCAAGUAAAGAUAGCUUCGGCCUUCGCAUCGGGACGGGGCCCGCGGCCCAUUAGCUUGUUGGUGAGGUAACGGCUCACCAAGGCUGCGAUGGGUAGCUGGUCUGAGAGGACGAUCAGCCACACUGGGACUGAGACACGGCCCAGACUCCUACGGGAGGCAGCAGUGGGGAAUCUUGCGCAAUGCGCGAAAGCGUGACGCAGCAACGCCGCGUGGAGGAAGACGGUCUUCGGAUUGUAAACUCCUUUCAGUUGGGACGAAGCUCAACAGGUUAAUAGCCUGAUGGAGUGACGGUACCUUCAGAAGAAGCCCCGGCUAACUACGUGCCAGCAGCCGCGGUAAUACGUAGGGGGCUAGCGUUGUCCGGAAUCAUUGGGCGUAAAGAGCGUGUAGGCGGUCCGGUAAGUCCGCUGUGAAAGUCGGGGGCUCAACCCUCGAAUGCCGGUGGAUACUGUCGGGCUAGAGUGCGGAAGAGGCGAGUGGAAUUCCUGGUGUAGCGGUGAAAUGCGCAGAUAUCAGGAGGAACACCUAUUGCGAAGGCAGCUCGCUGGGACGUAACUGACGCUGAGACGCGAAAGCGUGGGGAGCAAACAGGAUUAGAUACCCUAGUAGUCC
rnacentral:rRNA from 1 species